rnacentral:RNase_P_RNA from 1 species
CCAGGGGGCCGGGCAGCCGCGCCGUGCUUGCACGUCGAGGAAAGUCCGGGCUCCAUGAAACGAGGGUGGCGGGUAACGCCCGCCGUGUCCGCGCAAGCGGGCAUAGGGAAAGUGCCACAGAGAGCAGACCGCCGACGCCUUUCGGGGCAGGCAAGGGUGAAAGGGUGCGGCAAGAGCGCACCGCGCGACCGGCAACGGAAGCGGCAUGGCAAACCCCACCCGGAGCAAGACCGAAUAGGGGGGACACGCUGGCAACAGCAGGGCCGUUUCAGCCCAGUCGCCCGGGUUGGUCGCUGGAGCGGCAUGGCAACAUGCCGCCGAGAGGAAUGGCUGCCGUUCCGGAUACGGUCUCUCGUGGGAUACCGUCCGGAUCACAGAACCCGGCUUACAGGCCCCCUGGCACC